GUGGGGAAUAUUGCACAAUGGACGAAAGUCUGAUGCAGCAACGCCGCGUGCGGGAUGACGGCCUUCGGGUUGUAAACCGCUUUCACCAGGGGCGAAUUUGACGGUACCUGGAGAAGAAGCACCGGCUAACUACGUGCCAGCAGCCGCGGUGAUACGUAGGGUGCGAGCGUUGUCCGGAUUUAUUGGGCGUAAAGAGCUCGUAGGUGGUUUGUUGCGUCGGGAGUGAAAACACACAGCUCAACUGUGUGCUUGCUUUCGAUACGGGCAGACUUGAGGGAUGUAGGGGAGAACGGAAUUCCUGGUGGAGCGGUGGAAUGCGCAGAUAUCAGGAGGAACACCGGUGGCGAAGGCGGUUCUCUGGACAUUUCCUGACGCUGAGGAGCGAAAGCGUGGGGAGCAAACAGGCUUAGAAACCCCUGUAGUCC
rnacentral:rRNA from 1 species